ensembl:lncRNA
GGGUGUGUGUGCGUGCGUGCGUGCGAGUGGUGUCUCAGGGUGGUGUGUGUGCGUGUGUGUGCGAGUGGUGUCUCAGGGUGUGUGUGUGUGUGUGCGAGUGGUGUCUCAGGGUGUGUGUGCGUGCGAGUGGUGUCUCAGGGGGUGUGUGUGCGUGCGAGUGGUGUCUCAGGGUGUGUGUGCGUGUGUGCGUGCGAGUGGUGUCUCAGGGUGUGUGUGCGUGCGUGCGUGUGCGUGCGAGUGGUGUCUCAGGGUGUGUGCGUGCGUGCGAGUGGUGUCGAGUGGUGUCUCAG